rnacentral:rRNA from 1 species
GAUGAACGCUGGCGGCGUGCCUAAUACAUGCAAGUCGAGCGAACAGACGAGGAGCUUGCUCCUCUGACGUUAGCGGCGGACGGGUGAGUAACACGUGGAUAACCUACCUAUAAGACUGGGAUAACUUCGGGAAACCGGAGCUAAUACCGGAUAAUAUAUUGAACCGCAUGGUUCAAUAGUGAAAGACGGUUUUGCUGUCACUUAUAGAUGGAUCCGCGCCGCAUUAGCUAGUUGGUAAGGUAACGGCUUACCAAGGCAACGAUGCGUAGCCGACCUGGGAGGGUGAUCGGCCACUGGAGCUGAGACACGGUCCAGACUCCUACGGGAGGCAGCAGUAGGGAAUCUUCCGCAAUGGGCGAAAGCCUGACGGAGCAACGCCGCGUGAGUGAUGAAGGUCUUCGGAUCGUAAAACUCUGUUAUUAGGGAAGAACAAAUGUGUAAGUAACUAUGCACGUCUUGACGGUACCUAAUCAGAAAGCCACGGCUAACUACGUG